AGGUUAAGUUAGAAAGGGCGCACGGUGAAUGCCUUGGCACUAGGAGCCGAUGAAGGACGGUACUAACACCGAUAUGCUUCGGGGAGCUGUAAGUAAGCUUUGAUCCGGAGAUUUCCGAAUGGGGAAACCCCCUAUCCGUAAUGGGAUAGGAUCUUUACCUGAAUACAUAGGGUAUAGAAGGCAGACCCGGGGAACUGAAACAUCUAAGUACCCGGAGGAAGAGAAAGCAAACGCGAUUCCCUGAGUAGCGGCGAGCGAAACGGGAUUAGCCCAAACCAAGAGGCUUGCCUCUUGGGGUUGUAGGACACUCUACACGGAGUUACAAAGGAACGAGGUAAAUGAACAGGUCUGGAAAGGCCGGCCAGAGAAGGUAAAAGCCCUGUAGUUGAAACUUCGUUCCCUCCAGAGUGGAUCCUGAGUACGGCGGGACACGAGAAAUCCCGUCGGAAGCAGGGAGGACCAUCUCCCAAGGCUAAAUACUCCCUAGUGACCGAUAGUGAACCAGUACCGUGAGGGAAAGGUGAAAAGCACCCCGGAAGGGGAGUGAAAGAGAUCCUGAAACCGUGUGCCUACAAGUAGUUAGAGCCCGUUAAUGGGUGAUAGCGUGCCUUUUGUAGAAUGAACCGGCGAGUUACGAUUACAUGCGAGGUUAAGUUGAUGAGACGGAGCCGCAGCGAAAGCGAGUCUGAAUAGGGCGAAUGAGUAUGUGGUCGUAGACCCGAAACCAGGUGAUCUACCCAUGUCCAGGGUGAAGUCCAGGUAACACUGGAUGGAGGCCCGAACCCACGCACGUUGAAAAGUGCGGGGAUGAGGUGUGGGUAGCGGAGAAAUUCCAAUCGAACUUGGAGAUAGCUGGUUCUCUCCGAAAUAGCUUUAGGGCUAGCCUCAUGUAGUAAGAGUCUUGGAGGUAGAGCACUGUUUGGACUAGGGGCCCCCAUCGGGUUACCGAAUUCAGACAAACUCCGAAUGCCAAAGACUUAUCCAUGGGAGUCAGACUGCGAGUGAUAAGAUCCGUAGUCAAGAGGGAAACAGCCCAGACCACCAGCUAAGGUCCCAAAGUAUACGUUAAGUGGAAAAGGAUGUGGAGUUGCUUAGACAACCAGGAUGUUGGCUUAGAAGCAGCCACCAUUUAAAGAGUGCGUAAUAGCUCACUGGUCGAGUGACUCCGCGCCGAAAAUGUACCGGGGCUAAACGUAUCACCGAAGCUGUGGAUUGACAUCUUACGAUGUCAGUGGUAGGAGAGCGUUCUAAGGGCGUUGAAGCCGGAUCGCAAGGACCCGUGGAGCGCUUAGAAGUGAGAAUGCCGGUAUGAGUAGCGAAAGAUGGGUGAGAAUCCCAUCCACCGAAUGCCUAAGGUUUCCUGAGGAAGGCUCGUCCGCUCAGGGUUAGUCGGGACCUAAGCCGAGGCUGAAAAGCGUAGGCGAUGGACAACAGGUUGAUAUUCCUGUACCACCUCUUUACCGUUUGAGCAAUGGGGGGACGCAGGAGGAUAGGGUAAGCGUGCUGCUGGAUUAGCGCGUCCAAGCAGUUAGGCCGGUAACGAGGCAAAUCCCGUUACCAUACAGGCUGAGCUGUGACGGCGAGGGAAAUUUAGUACCGAAGUUCCUGAUUCCACACUGCCAAGAAAAGCCUCUAGCGAGGGAAAAGGUGCCCGUACCGCAAACCGACACAGGUAGGCGAGGAGAGAAUCCUAAGGUGAGCGAGAGAACUCUCGUUAAGGAACUCGGCAAAAUGACCCCGUAACUUCGGGAGAAGGGGUGCUCAUUAGGGUGAAUAGCCCUGAUGAGCCGCAGUGAAUAGGCCCAGGCGACUGUUUAGCAAAAACACAGGUCUCUGCGAAGCCGCAAGGCGAAGUAUAGGGGCUGACGCCUGCCCGGUGCUGGAAGGUUAAGAGGAGAGGUUAGCGCAAGCGAAGCUUUGAAUCGAAGCCCCAGUAAACGGCGGCCGUAACUAUAACGGUCCUAAGGUAGCGAAAUUCCUUGUCGGGUAAGUUCCGACCCGCACGAAAGGCGUAACGAUCUGGGCACUGUCUCAACGAGAGACUCGGUGAAAUUAUAGUAC
rnacentral:rRNA from 1 species